GACGAACGCUGGCGGCGCGCCUAACACAUGCAAGUCGAACGGAGCUGAGAGAAGCUUGCUUUUCUUAGCUUAGUGGCGAACGGGUGAGUAACGCGUGAGUAACCUGCCCUGGAGUGGGGGACAACAGUUGGAAACGACUGCUAAUACCGCAUAAGCCCACGAUCCGGCAUCGGAUUGAGGGAAAAGGAUUUAUUCGCUUCAGGAUGGACUCGCGUCCAAUUAGCUAGUUGGUGAGGUAACGGCCCACCAAGGCGACGAUUGGUAGCCGGACUGAGAGGUUGAACGGCCACAUUGGGACUGAGACACGGCCCAGACUCCUACGGGAGGCAGCAGUGGGGGAUAUUGCACAAUGGGGGAAACACUGAUGCAGCGACGCCGCGUGGAGGAAGAAGGUUUUCGGAUUGUAAACUCCUGUUGUUAGGGACGAUAAUGACGGUACCUAACAAGAAAGCACCGGCUAACUACGUG
rnacentral:rRNA from 1 species